GCUCUGUGGAUCAGUGGCGAACGGGUGAGUAACACGUGAGCAAUCUGCCCCUGACUCUGGGAUAAGCGCUGGAAACGGCGUCUAAUACCGGAUACGAGCUGCGACCGCAUGGUCAGUAGCUGGAAAGAAUUUCGGUCAGGGAUGAGCUCGCGGCCUAUCAGCUUGUUGGUGAGGUAAUGGCUCACCAAGGCGUCGACGGGUAGCCGGCCUGAGAGGGUGACCGGCCACACUGGGACUGAGACACGGCCCAGACUCCUACGGGAGGCAGCAGUGGGGAAUAUUGCACAAUGGGCGAAAGCCUGAUGCAGCAACGCCGCGUGAGGGAUGACGGCCUUCGGGUUGUAAACCUCUUUUAGCAGGGAAGAAGCGAAAGUGACGGUACCUGCAGAAAAAGCGCCGGCUAACUACGUGCCAGCAGCCGCGGUAAUACGUAGGGCGCAAGCGUUAUCCGGAAUUAUUGGGCGUAAAGAGCUCGUAGGCGGUCUGUCGCGUCUGCUGUGAAAACCCGAGGCUCAACCUCGGGCCUGCAGUGGGUACGGGCAGACUAGAGUGCGGUAGGGGAGAUUGGAAUUCCUGGUGUAGCGGUGGAAUGCGCAGAUAUCAGGAGGAACACCGAUGGCGAAGGCAGAUCUCUGGGCCGUAACUGACGCUGAGGAGCGAAAGGGUGGGGAGCAAACAGGCUUAGAUACCCUGGUAGUCCACCCCGUAAACGUUGGGAACUAGUUGUGGGGUCCAUUCCACGGAUUCCGUGACGCAGCUA
rnacentral:rRNA from 1 species